GAUGAACGCUGGCGGCGUGCCUAAUACAUGCAAGUCGAGCGAACGGACGAGAAGCUUGCUUCUCUGAUGUUAGCGGCGGACGGGUGAGUAACACGUGGAUAACCUACCUAUAAGACUGGGAUAACUUCGGGAAACCGGAGCUAAUACCGGAUAAUAUUUUGUACCGCAUGGUUCAAAAGUGAAAGAAGGUCUUGCUGUCACUUAUAGAUGGAUCCGCGCUGCAUUAGCUAGUUGGUAAGGUAACGGCUUACCAAGACAACGAUGCAUAGCCGACCUGAGAGGGUUAUCGGCCACACUGGAACGGAGACACGGUCCAGACUGCUACGGUAGUCACCAGUAGGGAAUCUUCCGCAAUGAGCGAAAGCCUGACGGAGCAACGCCGCGUGAGUGAUGAUGGUCUUCGGAUCGUAAAACUCUGUUAUUAGGGAAGAACAUAUGUGUAAGUAACUGUGCACAUCUUGACGGUACCUAAUCAGAAAGCCACGGGUAACUACGUG
rnacentral:rRNA from 1 species